GAAUCUUAGACAAUGGGCGCAAGCCUGAUCUAGCCAUGCCGCGUGGACGAUGAAGGCCUUAGGGUUGUAAAGUCCUUUCGCUGGGGAAGAUAAUGACGGUACCCAGUAAAGAAGCCCCGGCUAACUCCGUGCCAGCAGCCGCGGUAAUACGGAGGGGGCUAGCGUUGUUCGGAAUUACUGGGCGUAAAGCGCGCGUAGGCGGAUCGGAAAGUUGGGGGUGAAAUCCCGGGGCUCAACCUCGGAACUGCCUUCAAAACUCCCGGUCUUGAGUUCGAGAGAGGUGAGUGGAAUUCCGAGUGUAGAGGUGAAAUUCGUAGAUAUUCGGAGGAACACCAGUGGCGAAGGCGGCUCACUGGCUCGAUACUGACGCUGAGGUGCGAAAGCGUGGGGAGCAAACAG
rnacentral:rRNA from 1 species